rfam:TPA: Bos taurus chromosome 23, whole genome shotgun sequence.
CCAAAGGCUCUUCUCAGAGCCACCACUUUUUCUGUUAAAGAGUUGU